CUGACCUGCUCAAUGAAAUUUAAAUAGCCGCAGUAUUUUAACUGUGCUAAGGUAGCAUAAUAAUUAGUCUUUUAAUUGAGGUCUGGAAUGAAUGGUUUGACGAGAAAAAUACUUUAUUUUUUAUAUUUUUAUUGAAUUUUAUUUUUUAGUUAAAAAUCUAAAGUUUUUAAGAGGGACGAUAAGACCCUAUAGAUCUUAAAAAUAUUUUUUUUUUUUUAUUUUUUGUUGUUUUUUUAGGAAAUAAUUAAUUUUUUUUUAUUGGGGUGAUAGAUAAAAUUUUUAAACUUUAUUUUUUUUUUACAUUUAUUUAUGUAUAAUUUGGUCUUUAAUUUUUGAUUUUAAGAUUAAGAUACCUUAGGGAUAACAGCGUAAUAUAAUUGGAGAGUUCUUAUUGAUAAUUAUGUUUGCGACCUCGAUGUUGGAUUAAAAUUUAUCUGUGGGGUAGAUUUUACAGAAUUAGG
rnacentral:rRNA from 1 species